rnacentral:lncRNA from 1 species
AAAUUUUGAAUAUCUGGGUGGAGCAGGCAAGAGUGCACAGCAAUCAACAACAGCAUCGGUGUACGUGUAUUAAAUGCCGAGAGAAGUGACAUGCUCUUCAAUAACAAGACAUCCGACAUAAUCCCUGAUAGUAUACUACUGCGUAAGAGUCAGAAGAAAGAACUUCAGGAGGUGAUUUGGGGAAGCAUUAGUUUGGUGGUAGCCAGUGCGAGAAUGAACGUGGUGUCGACCAAUUAGACUUCUACCUACCCUAUGCGUGUUUAUCCUGAGCCACGUAGUUGGAAAGAGGAUAUGAGCCUACACUCGAGUGAAGCGGUCGUCACCAUCCACAUGCGGCCAGGUCAGCAAGAAACGGUGCAGAAGCUGAUCAGGAGAUGAUGGCGGCCUGGAUGGCGUGUCAGCUGGAUAGCAGAUUGUUGCUUAGGAUGAGUCCAGCCUUAUCUUGUGAUGAGAUGAGGUCAGACGUCGCCGGAGCCGUCGAUGUGGACCCGCAGUUUUACCAUGAGCUAGAAGAGGAUGAUGCUUCAGCCGACGAUGUGCUCAUCAGCCGACGAUGAGAACCAUGCGGAUACCAUCGAAAGUUCACCCGAUAGAGUUUCAUCAUGAUGAUGAGUGGUGAUCAAGGAUCCAGUUGGUUUUCUGCCGGCCUGGGUUCAAGGAACUUAAAGUUAUACAUGACGGAAAUGUUCUCGAGGUCGCGAGGGUUGUUUUACAAUUAAGAUGAUUUUAAGGCAUAUACGUUCAUUAUACAAAGAAACGCGUGUAUUGUAUAACCUCAUGUCAAGUUCUUCGGCACUACCUAGCUUACAAGUGAAUAAUGAUACGUUACUUCACAAGCUUAAUUUCUGGUAUUCAGGGCAAAAUUACUGUCCCAUUUUGUUUUUCCCCAAUAUUAAUUCAGCGCAAAUAAUAAUUUAUUAGAUAAAUCCGAUUGUUUGAAAAGAUAUGAAAGCCCAUACAGAAAUUACAGACUACCUUAUUAUUUGUGCAACUUUUAACCAAACAUGCGGUAUUCUCUCCAAAAUGCCCCUUCAAAUUCGGGAAUUUUUCGCACAAUUUUACUUUACUUGUUUAUGAUAUUCAUGUCUCUAUUUUUUUCUCUUUGCCUCUUCAUUGAGGAUUUAUUGUUUCAAAAUAUUUACAUAGGAAUAACUUUUUUUCAUGAGUCAAAUGAUAUAACAUUUAUAACAGGAAUUACAUUAUAUCAAUAAUUUUCUUGACCUCUAAUACACAGAAUUGUUUAGAUCCGUAAUGAUUUAAAUAAAACUUCAAAUAUGAAACAAAUUCCGUGAUCAAUCUCUUAUUGCCAUGAUUUAGAGUUUGAAGGUUGCAUUUUACAUAAUGAUUACAAACUGGGCAACAUUGAUCAUCAAAUUAAUAAGAUCAAACUUAGGUUGUAUAUUUUGUACCCAUUAACAAUGUUUUCAUAGUGAUCACCAUUUCUUCUUUGAAAAUAAAAUAAAUCAUCCUCGAUAUGAUUUUCCAAUAAACUUUCAUCUUUUUUCCCCAAAAACAGAAAAUGGCAAAUGGUUUCGAUUUCAUUACAGAUUUCGCAUUGAUUUGUAUUUACAACUUUCCACUUGAACAAAUUGUCUCUAAAAGGUAAUAUUUUAUGUAACAGUCAUAAAUAAACAGUAAAUUGCUUAAUUUUUCAAUCUUUUAUCUUUUUUAAUUUAAAAUUAAGGAUAUGUCUCUAUGAACACUUUUACUUAUAUGCAACAAACUUAGGAU